rnacentral:rRNA from 1 species
UACGGAGGGUGCAAGCGUUAUCCGGAAUCACUGGGUUUAAAGGGUGCGUAGGUGGUUUAGUAAGUCAGAUGUGAAAGCCCGGCGCUCAACGUCGGAAUUGCAUUUGAUACUGCUGAACUUGAAUCAGGUUGAGGUGGGCGGAAUGUGGCAUGUAGCGGUGAAAUGCAUAGAUAUGCCAUAGAACACCAAUUGCGAAGGCAGCUCACUGGCCCUGAAUUGACACUGAGGCACGAAAGCGUGGGGAGCGAACAGG